rnacentral:rRNA from 1 species
GAUGAACGCUGGCGGCGUGCCUAAUACAUGCAAGUCGAGCGAACAGAUGAGGAGCUUGCUCCUCUGACGUUAGCGGCGGACGGGUGAGUAACACGUGGAUAACCUACCUAUAAGACUGGGAUAACUUCGGGAAACCGGAGCUAAUACCGGAUAAUAUAUUGAACCGCAGGGUUCAAUAGUGAAAGACGGUUUUGCUGUCACUUAUAGAUGGAUCCGCGCCGCAUUAGCUAGUUGGUAAGGUAACGGCUUACCAAGGCAACGAUGCGUAGCCGACCUGAGAGGGUGAUCGGCCACACUGGAACUGAGACACGGUCCAGACUCCUACGGGAGGCAGCAGUAGGGAAUCUUCCGCAAUGGGCGAAAGCUUGACGGAGCAACGCCGCGUGAGUGAUGAAGGUCUUCGGAUCGUAAAACUCUGUUAUUAGGGAAGAACAAAUGUGUAAGUAACUAUGCACGUCUUGACGGUACCUAAUCAGAAAGCCACGGCUAACUACGUG